AGAGAGAGACAUGCGUGCAUAUCAAUAAGCGGAGGAAAAGAAACUAACAAGGAUUCCCCUAGUAACGGCGAGUGAAGCGGGAAGAGCUCAAAUUUGAAAUCUUAAAGGGUUUCCCUUUACGAAUUGUAGUUUAAAGAAGUGUUUUCUGUUGAGGUUUUGGUAAAAGUUCUUUGGAAUAGGACAUCAUAGAGGGUGAGAAUCCCGUAUUUGACCUUUACUUUCAACUUUGUGAUACACUUUCAAAGAGUCAGAUUGUUUGGGAAUGCAGUCCAAAAUGGGUGGUAAAUUUCAUCUAAAGCUAAAUAUUGGCGAGAGACCGAUAGCGAACAAGUACCGUGAGGGAAAGAUGAAAAGAACUUUGAAAAGAGAGUUAAACAGUACGUGAAAUUGUCAAAAGGGAAGCGUUUGACACCAGUGUUGUUUUUCUGAAAAUCAAUUAAAGAACUGUUUAUGCUAAGUUGUUUAGACUUUAUCAGCUAACUGUUUAGUUUUGAGCUUUUCUUUAAUGCACUUUUCAGUUAACAAGUCAACAUCAAUUUCUUUUGCUGUAAAAAAGCUUGAGGAAGGUGGCUUGAGAUUCGUCUUAAGUGUUUAUAGCCUCUUGCCUAUGCAGUCGGAGAGAUUGAGGUCUGCAGCGUAGAUCCUUCGGGGCUAAAUGCAUUUGUGCUAAGUUAUAGCAUUUUAUAGACAACUUGUUGACUAUGAUUUGUCUUGUAGCUUACUCGCUUAUGUUAUUUUACCUACGCUUAGGAUGUUGAGCGCAUGUCUCUCUCU
rnacentral:rRNA from 1 species